GAAAGAUGAAUCAAAGAAGGUAAUAAUCCUGUAGUCGAAAAUGUUGUCUCUCUUGAGUGGAUCCUGAGUACGACGGAGCACGUGAAAUUCCGUCGGAAUCUGGGAGGACCAUCUCCUAAGGCUAAAUACUCUCUAGUGACCGAUAGUGAACCAGUACCGUGAGGGAAAGGUGAAAAGCACCCCGGAAGGGGAGUGAAAUAGAACCUGAAACCGUGUGCUUACAAGUAGUCAGAGCCCGUUAAUGGGUGAUGGCGUGCCUUUUGUAGAAUGAACCGGCGAGUUACGAUUUGAUGCAAGGUUAAGCAGUAAAUGUGGAGCCGUAGCGAAAGCGAGUCUGAAUAGGGCGUUUAGUAUUUGGUCGUAGACCCGAAACCAGGUGAUCUACCCUUGGUCAGGUUGAAGUUCAGGUAACACUGAAUGGAGGACCGAACCGACUUACGUUGAAAAGUGAGCGGAUGAACUGAGGGUAGCGGAGAAAUUCCAAUCGAACCUGGAGAUAGCUGGUUCUCUCCGAAAUAGCUUUAGGGCUAGCCUCAAGUGAUGAUUAUUGGAGGUAGAGCACUGUUUGGACGAGGGGCCCCUCUCGGGUUACCGAAUUCAGACAAACUCCGAAUGCCAAUUAAUUUAACUUGGGAGUCAGAACAUGGGUGAUAAGGUCCGUGUUCGAAAGGGAAACAGCCCAGACCACCAGCUAAGGUCCCAAAAUAUAUGUUAAGUGGAAAAGGAUGUGGCGUUGCCCAGACAACUAGGAUGUUGGCUUAGAAGCAGCCAUCAUUUAAAGAGUGCGUAAUAGCUCACUAGUCGAGUGACACUGCGCCGAAAAUGUACCGGGGCUAAACAUAUUACCGAAGCUGUGGAUUGUCCUUUGGACAAUGGUAGGAGAGCGUUCUAAGGGCGUUGAAGCAUGAUCGUAAGGACAUGUGGAGCGCUUAGAAGUGAGAAUGCCGGUGUGAGUAGCGAAAGACGGGUGAGAAUCCCGUCCACCGAUUGACUAAGGUUUCCAGAGGAAGGCUCGUCCGCUCUGGGUUAGUCGGGUCCUAAGCUGAGGCCGACAGGCGUAGGCGAUGGAUAACAGGUUGAUAUUCCUGUACCACCUAUAAUCGUUUUAAUCGAUGGGGGGACGCAGUAGGAUAGGCGAAGCGUGCGAUUGGAUUGCACGUCUAAGCAGUAAGGCUGAGUAUUAGGCAAAUCCGGUACUCAUUAAGGCUGAGCUGUGAUGGGGAGAAGACAUUGUGUCUUCGAGUCGUUGAUUUCACACUGCCGAGAAAAGCCUCUAGAUAGAAAAUAGGUGCCCGUACCGCAAACCGACACAGGUAGUCAAGAUGAGAAUUCUAAGGUGAGCGAGCGAACUCUCGUUAAGGAACUCGGCAAAAUGACCCCGUAACUUCGGGAGAAGGGGUGCUCUUUAGGGUUAACGCCCAGAAGAGCCGCAGUGAAUAGGCCCAAGCGACUGUUUAUCAAAAACACAGGUCUCUGCUAAACCGUAAGGUGAUGUAUAGGGGCUGACGCCUGCCCGGUGCUGGAAGGUUAAGAGGAGUGGUUAGCUUCUGCGAAGCUACGAAUCGAAGCCCCAGUAAACGGCGGCCGUAACUAUAACGGUCCUAAGGUAGCGAAAUUCCUUGUCGGGUAAGUUCCGACCCGCACGAAAGGCGUAACGAUUUGGGCACUGUCUCAACGAGAGACUCGGUGAAAUCAUAGUACCUGUGAAGAUGCAGGUUACCCGCGACAGGACGGAAAGACCCCGUGGAGCUUUACUGUAGCCUGAUAUUGAAAUUCGGCACAGCUUGUACAGGAUAGGUAGGAGCCUUUGAAACGUGAGCGCUAGCUUACGUGGAGGCGCUGGUGGGAUACUACCCUAGCUGUGUUGGCUUUCUAACCCGCACCACUUAUCGUGGUGGGAGACAGUGUCAGGCGGGCAGUUUGACUGGGGCGGUCGCCUCCUAAAAGGUAACGGAGGCGCUCAAAGGUUCCCUCAGAAUGGUUGGAAAUCAUUCAUAGAGUGUAAAGGCAUAAGGGAGCUUGACUGCGAGACCUACAAGUCGAGCAGGGUCGAAAGACGGACUUAGUGAUCCGGUGGUUCCGCAUGGAAGGGCCAUCGCUCAACGGAUAAAAGCUACCCCGGGGAUAACAGGCUUAUCUCCCCCAAGAGUUCACAUCGACGGGGAGGUUUGGCACCUCGAUGUCGGCUCAUCGCAUCCUGGGGCUGUAGUCGGUCCCAAGGGUUGGGCUGUUCGCCCAUUAAAGCGGUACGCGAGCUGGGUUCAGAACGUCGUGAGACAGUUCGGUCCCUAUCCGUCGUGGGCGUAGGAAAUUUGAGAGGAGCUGUCCUUAGUACGAGAGGACCGGGAUGGACAUACCUCUGGUGUACCAGUUGUCGUGCCAACGGCAUAGCUGGGUAGCUAUGUGUGGACGGGAUAAGUGCUGAAAGCAUCUAAGCAUGAAGCCCCCCUCAAGAUGAGAUUUCCCAACUUCGGUUAUAAGAUCCCUCAAAGAUGAUGAGGUUAAUAGGUUCGAGGUGGAAGCAUGGUGACAUGUGGAGCUGACGAAUACUAA
rnacentral:rRNA from 1 species